rnacentral:rRNA from 1 species
GACGAACGCUGGCGGCGUGCUUAACACAUGCAAGUCGAACGGAAAGGCCCUGCUUUUGUGGGGUGCUCGAGUGGCGAACGGGUGAGUAACACGUGAGUAACCUGCCCUUGACUUUGGGAUAACUUCAGGAAACUGGGGCUAAUACCGGAUAGGAGCUCCUGCUGCAUGGUGGGGGUUGGAAAGUUUCGGCGGUUGGGGAUGGACUUGCGGCUUAUCAGCUUGUUGGUGGGGUAGUGGCUUACCAAGGCUUUGACGGGUAGCCGGCCUGAGAGGGUGACCGGCCACAUUGGGACUGAGAUACGGCCCAGACUCCUACGGGAGGCAGCAGUGGGGAAUAUUGCACAAUGGGCGGAAGCCUGAUGCAGCAACGCCGCGUGCGGGAUGACGGCCUUCGGGUUGUAAACCGCUUUCGCCUGUGACGAAGCGUGAGUGACGGUAAUGGGUAAAGAAGCACCGGCUAACUACGUGCCAGCAGCCGCGGUGAUACGUAGGGUGCGAGCGUUGUCCGGAUUUAUUGGGCGUAAAGGGCUCGUAGGUGGUUGAUCGCGUCGGAAGUGUAAUCUUGGGGCUUAACCCUGAGCGUGCUUUCGAUACGGGUUGACUUGAGGAAGGUAGGGGAGAAUGGAAUUCCUGGUGGAGCGGUGGAAUGCGCAGAUAUCAGGAGGAACACCAGUGGCGAAGGCGGUUCUCUGGGCCUUUCCUGACGCUGAGGAGCGAAAGCGUGGGGAGCGAACAGGCUUAGAUACCCUGGUAGUCCACGCUGUAAACGGUGGGUACUAGGUGUGGGGUCCAUUCCACGGGUUCCGUGCCGUAGCUAACGCUUUAAGUACCCCGCCUGGGGAGUACGGCCGCAAGGCUAAAACUCAAAGGAAUUGACGGGGCCCCGCACAAGCGGCGGAGCAUGCGGAUUAAUUCGAUGCAACGCGUAGAACCUUACCUGGGUUUGACAUGGAUCGGGAGUGCUCAGAGAUGGGUGUGCCUCUUUUGGGGUCGGUUCACAGGUGGUGCAUGGCUGUCGUCAGCUCGUGUCGUGAGAUGUUGGGUUAAGUCCCGCAACGAGCGCAACCCUUGUUCACUGUUGCCAGCACGUUAUGGUGGGGACUCAGUGGAGACCGCCGGGGUCAACUCGGAGGAAGGUGGGGAUGACGUCAAGUCAUCAUGCCCCUUAUGUCCAGGGCUUCACGCAUGCUACAAUGGCUGGUACAGAGAGUGGCGAGCCUGUGAGGGUGAGCGAAUCUCGGAAAGCCGGUCUCAGUUCGGAUUGGGGUCUGCAACUCGACCUCAUGAAGUCGGAGUCGCUAGUAAUCGCAGAUCAGCAACGCUGCGGUGAAUACGUUCCCGGG